GAUGAAGAACGCAGCGAAAUGCGAUACGUAAUGUGAAUUGCAGAAUUCAGUGAAUCAUCGAGUCUUUGAACGCACAUUGCGCCCCCUGGUAUUCCGGGGGGCAUGCCUGUCCGAGCGUCAUUACAACCCUCAAGCUCAGCUUGGUGUUGGGCCCCGCCUCCCCGGCGGGCCCUAAAGUCAGUGGCGGUGCCGUCCGGCUCCGAGCGUAGUAAUUCUUCUCGCUCUGGAGGUCCGGUCGUGUGCUCGCCAGCAACCCCCAAUUUUUUUCAGGUUGACCUCGGAUCAGGUAGGGAUACCCGCUGAACUUAAGCAUAUCAAUAAGCGGAGGA
rnacentral:misc_RNA from 1 species